CCCGCACGCCGGAAGACCAAGGGUUCCUGUCCAACGUUAAUCGGGGCAGGGUGAGUCGACCCCUAAGGCGAGGCCGAAAGGCGUAGUCGAUGGGAAACAGGUUAAUAUUCCUGUACUUGGUGUUACUGCGAAGGGGGGACGGAGAAGGCUAUGUUAGCCGGGCGACGGUUGUCCCGGUUUAAGCAUGUAGGCGGAGGUUCCAGGUAAAUCCGGUACCUUUUAACGCUGAGGUGUGAUGACGAGGCACUACGGUGCUGAAGUAACAAAUGCCCUGCUUCCAGGAAAAGCCUCUAAGCAUCAGGUAACACGAAAUCGUACCCCAAACCGACACAGGUGGUCAGGUAGAGAAUACCAAGGCGCUUGAGAGAACUCGGGUGAAGGAACUAGGCAAAAUGGUGCCGUAACUUCGGGAGAAGGCACGCUGAUAUGUAGGUGAAGUGAUUUACUCAUGGAGCUGAAAUCAGUCGAAGAUACCAGCUGGCUGCAACUGUUUAUUAAAAACACAGCACUGUGCAAACACGAAAGUGGACGUAUACGGUGUGACGCCUGCCCGGUGCCGGAAGGUUAAUUGAUGGGGUUAUCCGUAAGGAGAAGCUCUUGAUCGAAGCCCCGGUAAACGGCGGCCGUAACUAUAACGGUCCUAAGGUAGCGAAAUUCCUUGUCGGGUAAGUUCCGACCUGCACGAAUGGCGUAAUGAUGGCCAGGCUGUCUCCACCCGAGACUCAGUGAAAUUGAACUCGCUGUGAAGAUGCAGUGUACCCGCGGCAAGACGGAAAGACCCCGUGAACCUUUACUAUAGCUUGACACUGAACACUGGUCCUUGAUGUGUAGGAUAGGUGGGAGGCUUUGAAGUGUGGACGCCAGUCUGCAUGGAGCCAACCUUGAAAUACCACCCUUUAAUGGCUGGUGUUCUAACGUAGACCCGUGAUCCGGGUUGCGGACAGUGUCUGGUGGGUAGUUUGACUGGGGCGGUCUCCUCCUAAAGAGUAACGGAGGAGCACGAAGGUUAGCUAAUCCUGGUCGGACAUCAGGAGGUUAGUGCAAAGGCAUAAGCUAGCUUGACUGCGAGAGUGACGGCUCGAGCAGGUGCGAAAGCAGGUCUUAGUGAUCCGGUGGUUCUGAAUGGAAGGGCCAUCGCUCAACGGAUAAAAGGUACUCCGGGGAUAACAGGCUGAUACCGCCCAAGAGUUCAUAUCGACGGCGGUGUUUGGCACCUCGAUGUCGGCUCAUCACAUCCUGGGGCUGAAGUAGGUCCCAAGGGUAUGGCUGUUCGCCAUUUAAAGUGGUACGCGAGCUGGGUUUAGAACGUCGUGAGACAGUUCGGUCCCUAUCUGCCGUGGGCGCUGGAGAAUUGAGGGGGGCUGCUCCUAGUACGAGAGGACCGGAGUGGACGCAUCACUGGUGUUCGGGUUGUCAUGCCAAUGGCAUUGCCCGGUAGCUAAAUGCGGAAGAGAUAAGUGCUGAAAGCAUCUAAGCACGAAACUUGCCCCGAGAUGAGUUCUCCCUGAGACUAUAAGUCUCCUGAAGGAACGUUGAAGACGACGACGUUGAUAGGUCGGGUGUGUAAGUGUAGCGAUACAUUGAGCUAACCGAUACUAAUGAACCGUGAGGCUUAACCUU
rnacentral:rRNA from 2 species